ACUCCUCACCGUGUCUUCUUCCCCCUCUCUCUGUCGCUCACCACAGUUCGAGCGUGCGCAGUGCCGAUCCCUGUCGUCAGCACCACCAGUACCGCCAUGUUGAGACGGUUAUGGAAGAUAUUACUCUUACUACAGCCGUCACCUCCGAAAGUUUACCCUCACCUAGCACUGCUGCACCGCCCUUCUAAGAUUUUUUGACGUCGACAAAAACUACUGAAACGACAUUUAUAUCUCGGAAGAGAUCUUCUUCCUUCUUUUGUGGAUAUAAACAUACAACAAACAUCGUUCAAACGCCGCCAGCCACUCCGUCCGACAAUCCAUCAUUUUUUCCCCUUCGACUCCAGAUUCGAAAAACGACAACAAAGUCAAACAAAAUUUACAGAUCGAAAGGAUAAAAACACACAAAAUACCCCCCAAUGUAUGUCGUUUAUAUUCGAUAUACAUACCGAUAACUUGCAACUUUAAUAUAUAUAGUAUGUAGAGUGUUUCUCUUUGAAUCUAACGAGUACCUUGUUUUUUUUUUUUUUUUUUUUUUUUUUUUUUUUUCUCUCUCCAUGAUAAACCGUGAAAGAAGAUAAACGACACAUUCACUUUGUAGACUCUUAAUCUCUGCCACCCCCGUUUUAUUUUUGUCUUUCCAUCUCAAUAUUUACGCUUUUGCACACUCUAACACACACACACACACAUAUACACUCACUUCUAUGUAUACACAAACCGAUAUACAUACGUUGGACCGGAUUGAAAGAAGCCUUAAUUAUUCGACACGAUACGGAACAAGUUUUUUUCUCUCUCCAACUAGUCUUUGUUUCUCCCCCUUUUUAAAAACAAAGUGAUAACAGAUUAAUAUUUAAAAAAAAAGUAAACAAAAACUUGCUUCAGUUUCUAAAUAUACAAUAAAUAAAGUGGAAACGUUAAAAAACUGAUUCGUCACUUUUAAGUAAGAGGAGGAGCAAGCAGCAUCCUGUUGUCGGUAUCUGAUUGUUGUUUGUAUAUGCAGACACCAUCAGGAGUAGAAUCUUGUGGAAUAAGUUGUCAUGGGAGCUUUUCUUGACAAACCCAAGACAGAGAAGCAUAAUGAAGCGGGAAUGGGAAAUGGCCUUCAUUUUGGCCUCAGCAGUAUGCAGGGGUGGCGUGUGGAAAUGGAGGAUGCCCACACGGCAGUUAUCGGCCUACCGCAUGGCCUCACUGACUGGUCCUUUUUCGCUGUAUACGAUGGUCAUGCUGGAGCUAAGGUAUCGGCCUGCUGUGCAGCUCAGCUGAUGGAGCACAUUAUUGCCAAUGAAGAUUUUCGGGGCAAGCUUGAUGUCAGCCAGGGUACAGAAAUCCUUCCCUCUAUUAUGGAUGUGCAGAAAGGCAUCAAGACUGGCUUUCUUAAGUUUGAUGACUGCAUGCGAACAAUGCCAGAAAUGGUUAGUGGGGAAGACAAAAGUGGCUCUACAGCAGUAUGUGCUAUUGUCUCACCAACACACAUCUUCUUUGCUAAUUGUGGAGAUUCUCGGGCGGUGCUGUGUCGAGAUGCUAAAUGUCCGUUCUCAACUACUGAUCACAAACCUGUAAAUCCCAUUGAGAAGGAACGGAUACAGAAUGCUGGAGGCAGUGUUAUGAUACAGCGAGUCAACGGAUCUUUAGCAGUAUCCCGGGCUCUAGGAGACUUUGAAUAUAAAAAUGUUGAAGGAAAAGGGCCAUGUGAGCAGUUAGUAUCUCCAGAGCCAGAAAUUUUCACCGAAUGUCGAAAUGAGAAGGAUGAAUUCUUAGUACUUGCUUGUGAUGGAAUUUGGGAUGUCAUGUCCAAUGAAGAACUCUGUGAUUUUGUUAGGAGUAGAAUGCUCAUUACUGAAAGUCUUGAAGACAUUUGCAAUCAAGUUGUAGAUACAUGUUUAUAUAAGGGAAGUCGAGAUAACAUGAGCAUUGUCCUCAUAGCUUUUCCAGGAGCACCUAAGCUGUCAGAUGAGGCAAUAAGAAAAGAAAGAGAACUGGACACACGUUUGGAGAACAAAAUUAAAGAAAUCCUAGACAACUGCAAACCUGAAGAUGAUGUCGACCUUUCUCUUGUGAUGCACGAGUUGAUGGAUGAUGAAAUAGAAGGAUUGCCACCUGGUGGUGGUUUAAGUUCUAAGAGAAUGACAGUUGGAAGUAUUUUAAAGCGACUCAGACCGGGAAAAAUUGAGGAUGAGCUCGAACUUAAAGCCUACUCACCAAUGGGCAGACCAUCCAGCCUGCUCUAAAUAGAGGCUGCCUCCUUUCAAGGUUGGACCUUCUCAACAAGCAGCACUCUAAUCUAAAACACUUGGUUAAUUUUGGCCAUAAUCCUCUUGCUUUCUUUUCUUGCAAAUUCUUCACUUUCAUUGACUUCAGUUCAAUCUUAGCCUUAUUUAAUGGAGCAAAAAAGCUUCUGUAGUGAUUAAUGAGCUGUACUGAGAAGAUUGAAUGAUGGUUUUAUAGAAACUCAUGUACCAACACCUACCAACCACUUCCUGUCACAUGACUACUGCUAUGACUCUUACAGCUAUAAACAUUACUCUUGUUAAGACUGCUCUUAUCAUCAUUUCUCUUACCAAUUAUUAUACCACUGUUAUUACUCUGCUACAACUCACCACUAAUACUGGCACUUUGGUGGUCACUGAUGCAGAUCUCCAUAGAUGUGUACAAGUGAAAAAUGAUGUAGAAAAAGACUUUUUAUUUUAAUUGAUAUCAUUAGAAAAAAAAAAUGUAAAUUUAAAAAUAAAAUCAGGGGAUGAAAUGAGCUGUAGAAAGAGGCAUUCUACUGAGAGAGAGAGAGAGAGAGAGAGCUUGUUUUAGGACAUACAAUCAAGGAAGAGAACAGAUACACACUGUCAUGUUUCACUUGCUCAUUUUGUCUUUGUUCUUAUCUCCUUCCACUCCUUUUUCUCCAAAUUCUAUCUCUAAGCUGGUUUCAAUAAGAAAACGAUGUUCUUGAUCCUCUUCUUCACUGUCAGACACUUUUAAUUUUAUACACUGUAUCCUCUUUGAAUAAUUAGGAUUUACUAAUCAGCUUGGAGGAUUGUUUUUUUUUUGUUUUUUUUUUAAUGCUUUUAUUAUGUUUUUGGGGGAUUGGUAAGGCUUCCUCCUCUUCCUGUAAUAACAUCUGGGGAGGAUAGUGUACGGAAUGAGAGAAAAAGUACUUCUGUAAGAUUUUUGAAAAUUAUGAAAUGUUAACAUUUUUAAAUUCUUUCUCCAAUCUCAAAAAGUGUUAAAUGAAAAAAUUAGUAUUUUUCUUUUGAAUUUAAAACAUGAAAUAAAAAGGGAAAAAUGUAUCAUACUUUUUAAGAAUCAUGUAAAUUUAUCUUUUGUGAUUGGAAUGCUUCCACCUCAAAUUAGGUUUUUAGAUUCUAAUUUUCAUCAAUUUGGUCACCAACUCCCCUCCUUCCCAAAACAAAUAUCUCUAAAUUGAAUAAGAAAGCCAAUUUGAAGAAGAAAGAAAAGUAAACUGUGGAUGUAUUUCUAAGUUGCCAUUAUUGUUACAGUUCAUUCAUUUUGUUUUGUUUGUUUUUUUAACAUGUAUCAAAAUAAUUUUUGCCUGUUAAUAAUAGACCUGAUUCUUAGAAUUGGCAAUUCUCACUUACCUAGGAAGACUGACAAUUAUGAAGAUUUGGUAAAGCAUUUACAACCUACAUGGAAAGCUUAGUGAAACUUUUGUCACAAUUGUAACCUUUUCAUGUCAAAUCUGCAGCUGCUACAUAUUUCCCGAUCACAGUCGCAGAGUAAUUGUGGAAGACUGCUGUGUUUACAUUGGUUCAAAUCUUGUUUAAUCUACACAUGACUCACACACACCAACAUAAAAAAGAAAAAAAAGAAAAAGAAAAACAAACUUUCGUUGAUUAUCUUAUUGAUGAAGAAAGUGAUUGGGCAGAAGAGUAGCAGAAAUGAAGAAGCAGCCUGCAAAAUAUUGCAUUGGUACCAUGGAAAUGAAUUGUAACAGCAAUCAUUCUAACGAGUGGUGUUAAUCUUGAAAAAAAACAGUUGUAUUAACAACUUGCUCAAGGCAUUACCGACUCCUUUCUUUAUCUUCUCCCACUGCUUUUAUUUGCCUAGAUGUCUGCCUUCCUUCAAAACUGUUGAUAUUUAUUUUUACUUUUUUUUUUUUUUGCCUUUUAUAGGUGCUCUUAUUUGGUAUUUUUAGUUUUGAUUUUGAAAUGUCAUUUUAGAGAAACUAGUUGGAAAGGAAUCAGAAUUAACUUUCAGAUUCACCGAAUGCACAUAAGGGCAUGUGUGCAUGAAUUCUUCACGAAAUUCUAUCUUGGUUUUCAAGUGUGUAUUUUUUUUUGCCUUUUUUUCUUGUAAGUACCCUUUGUACUUGUGCUGUUUAGUUGAGUGUACCUACAUAUACAUGUUUGUUUGAAUUAUUUCAUCCAAUAACUCUGUGCCAAAGGCCUUACUAGUUAUUUGUACAUUAAAGGUAAAGUUGUUUCAUAGCUUUUUCUUUUUAAUCAGCUUUCAUUGAUGUAUUUAAACCAAGAGCCUUUGUUUCGUUGCCCCCCUCUUUUCCAACUCUUUUAUUGCAUGCUAGCCACUGCAUCUCCUCCCUAUCUCAUCUUGUAUUUUGUAAUUCUCUCUGUUCAUGUUUGUCUACUAAUUUUUUCAGUAUUAAAACUAGCUUCUCUCAGGGUAUGAGACUUAAGAAAUAAACUUUUCUUACUAUGAGGCCAGCUCCCAGAACUAGUAGCUGUAGCCAGUAUCUCUGGUAAUGACAUGUGACAUGACACACACACUCCCUGGCUUGGUCAAGGAAAACCGUGUCCAGCAUCACUGCUGCACAAUAACUGAUAAUGUGACCAUUAGAACAGCAGCAAGUGAUUAUGCUGACCAUUAAAGUUAACAUCCCAGUUGGAAAUUUUCUGUCUUUAUUCCAUUUUUUUAUUUUAGAUUUUUAUUUCUAAAAAAUAAAAAGAAUCAGUAUCAAUAAAAAUUGAAAAUUUUCUGGGAUAAAAA